ACACGUACAUGGCAGGAGAAAUGCCAUGACCAGGAAGGUGUUUUCCCAGGUUGAGGUUCAUUCACUGCACUCUCGGUGUGCUGACCCUUGCAAUUUCCCCAAAUGCAGAAAACUCGACUGCAUUCAUUUGUGAUAGUGGGGGACUCUGUUCACACUUUCCCAAU
rnacentral:snRNA from 1 species